UACGUAGGGGGCAAGCGUUGUCCGGAUUUAUUGGGCGUAAAGAGCGUGUAGGCGGCCAGGUAGGUCUGCUGUGAAAACUCGAGGCUCAACCUCGAGACGUCGGCGGAAACCAUCUGGCUAGAGUCCGGAAGAGGAGAGUGGAAUUCCUGGUGUAGCGGUGAAAUGCGCAGAUAUCAGGAAGAACACCCGUGGCGAAGGCGGCUCUCUGGGACGGUACUGACGCUGAGAGCGAAAGCGUGGGGAGCGAACAGG
rnacentral:rRNA from 1 species